rfam:Hordeum vulgare subsp. vulgare, WGS project CAJW01000000 data, contig: morex_contig_1613637
GAACUACUCCCUCCGCCUUAAAAUUCUUAUCUUAUAUUUGUCUAGAAAUGAAUGUAUCAAAAUACUAAAAUGUGACUAGAUACAUUCAUAUCCAGACAAAUCUAAGACAAAAAAUUUGGGACAGAGGGAGUAGUAU